GCGGGAAUAGCUCAGUUGGUAGAGCAUAACCUUGCCAAGGUUNNGCCAAGGUUGGGGUCGCGAGUUCGAGUCUCGUUUCCCGCUCCA
rnacentral:tRNA from 1 species